rnacentral:tRNA from 1 species
GGAGAGAUGGCUCAGUGGUUAAGAGCACUGGCUUCUCUUCCAGAGGACCUGGGUUCAAUUCCCAGCUCCC